UUCAUUUCAUAUUCGUUUGUGAAAAUUAAAUAAAUACCAAUUCUUUUCAUGAACUUCACAAUUAUCCUUAUCCAUCUAUCAUAAUACUUCUCAUCUAUUAGAAGGGAAUACAUUUUGUUGUAAGUACCAAUUCUACCCUCAUGUGUUUUAAUCAGAUCUAAUUUUCUCAACCAAAUGAAAUUCAAUGAUCUCAUUUCUAGUUUUCUUUCUCCUCUCCGUCGAUAGCUACCACCAUUCCAGCACCACCUCCACUUCCGCUACAACCUCCUACCACCACCACCUCAUGAACAAUCGAUUUAGAUCGGUUUUUCACUUAAUUCAAGUGCAAGACUUAAAUGCAUCGAUGAAUCAACAAAAAAUUAAUCUCCAAAACCUAAUCUAAAGCAUCAAAAACGUUAAAUUUAUUUCUAUAUCGACUGGAUUUGGCUUGGAAAACCUAAAACCAACGAUAUCAGCGUUAGUUCUUAAAGAUUGUCUGCUUCAAUUUGGAAGAGACGAUAAAAUCUUCAUCGAUAAUUGGAUCUACAGAUUCACUCAUCAAAAGCAAAUAAAAAUUCUUUCAGAUUGAUGAAGAUUACUCAGGUGCUUUUUAGUCUGUAAUUAACUUAAGAAAGUGUUGCUGGUAGUGGAUGUUAUGGUGGUGGUUGCAGCUAUUGUUGCAUAAGUGGCGGUGAUUGCUGUGUUUUACCAGUGGGGUGGAUGUUGCAUCACUGUUUUUGUUGUGGUGGUGGAUGUUAUUACAAUGGAGGUGAUGGUGGUGGCUUUUGCUGUAGUAGUGAGGGUGGUAAUGGUGGUGACAGUAGUAUUGGUGUUGGUGUUGGUGUUGUAGAGGUGGUGAUGCUGAUGGUAGACUUUGAGAGCGAUUUUUGUUAUUUUAUUACUGAUGCAGGAGCAGCAGUAGAGUGGUGAUGUAGAUGGUGGCUGCAGCAGUGCUAUGAUAGUAGCAAUUUUUCCUUUUCAAGCUUGCUCAAGGUUGUAUUGUAGUAGGAACCAGAUUAUAUACAAAGAAAUUCACUGAAGGUCAAGCUCAGAAGAUUAUUGUUGCAGUAACUAAUUUAAUGUUGAUUGAUUAUAAAUACCUAAACAACAUGUUAUACUUCAUUUCCCAACAACAUGGUGAUAAUAAUGUCGUAUAAUUCUUGCUGUGGGGUUUCUGAAGCUGUGUGGAUAUAUAGGAAUGGUGUUGACAAAAAAUGAAAGGUGGUUCAUGGAUCGGAGGUUCUAUGCAUGUCUGGAGCUUUGUGCAAUUUCUUGACCCUGUUCCACGUAGGCACACGUGACAUGUCUCCUAUUGUUGUUAUGUUCUUAUUCUAUCGCCUGCAACAGUAGUAAUUGAACCUAACAUGUCAGAUACUUUUUCUUUUGCUUGGGAGAAAGUAUAAGUUCAUGUGUCUGCCUCUUGUGGUGAUCUCUGUAACGGUAUAUGCAACAAACUUGUCCAACUUUCUGGUGACCAGUGCUACUUUGUUGGUUGGAUUCUUUUCCAUAUUUCAGGUAUACCCUCUUUCGAUGCGUUUAUUAUAAUUUCAUUUUCUUGAAUAGUGUGAAACAGAACUGUAAAAACACCAUAGUAAUUAUAUUAGACUAACUUGUGGUACAACGAAAGCACAACUGACUCCACGUCAAAAGAUGCGUGUUCGAUUCACGUCGGGUUCACUAAUUUUUGUACAUUAAUUGUUGGGAUCAACUUAGGUUGUUAAUACCAGAUUUUGGGAUCAACUUCGGUUGUUGACACCAUAUUAUUUUUUUUAUUUUCUGAUUUUUGUUUUGGGAAUCAAUUUCAGUUGUUGACACCAUAUUAUUUUUUAUUUUUUAUUUUCUGAUUUUUGUUAUGGGGAUCAACUUCGGUUUUUGACACCAUGUUUAUGAUGUCAAAUUAGGUUGUUGAUACUUUUUUUUUUCUUUCUUAUAUCUGAUUUUUGUUUCUGGGUUCAACUUCGGUUGUUGACACCAUAUUAUUUAUUUUUCUGAUUUUUCUGUGGUGGUGGUGGUGGCGGCGGUUGGUAUGUGGUGGUCGUUGAGCGGUGGUGGUAUAAUGGUGGUGGUGGCGGCGGUGAAGUGGUAGAGAAAGAAAUUUGAUGUAUUUUGAAAUGAAGAAAAAUAUUAUAUGAGUGAGGUAUUAAAGUAAUUUAUUUUUAAAUGGUUAAGGUUUUUAAAUUGUAGGGGUAUAUUUAUUAUUGUAUAAGAGUAUAUUUGUUGGGUGUUAAAACUAGGGGUAUAUAAUUAGUGUACCCUACUUGUUUUAGCUAUUAUUCUUGCAUGUAUUCUUGUUUUCUCUUAUUUGUCUCUACUAGGUGAAUCAUCCAAAAAAGAGCUACAAAGUGAUAAAAAUAGAUAUGAAGAGAAAUAUUCCAAGUAUCCAAGUGCCCAAGUCGAAGAGAACUGGAAGAAGUGCGACGAAACGGAGGAAAGAUGCUCCAAAUCAAGAGACGGGCCAAAUACCAAUCUUAACUCAUUCAAAUUCAGGAUUUAUUAGCACCAUCUUGUAGAGAAUUUAAAUUACAAAGAUAACGCAAAAAAGAAUGAGGUCAUUCCGAUUUCGGACGAAGAAAUUAUGGGCAAAACAAAUUUAUCAAAAACCGAAGACAGGAGGGUACGCAUACUGGGUAUGUGUACCGGAGUCACUUGGAAUUUCGUGAUCCGGAGGAGUAUGCAUACUUGGUUCUUUUUCACAGCUUACCUUCGGGUUCCUUAAUCGACUAGAUACUUGGAGGCUAAGCAUCGUAAACAUAUACACAUAGGUGUUAGACCUUGCAAAAGAGAUGAAUCUAUCACACAAGUUAGGGUUUAUUUCUACAUCUUCAACCAAGGGUUUACCCCUUUAGGGAGAAACCACCAUUAUUCAACUUCUUCAUCUUUUUUGUAAUACGAGUAGUUAAAUCCUUCGUUGAUUAAGGAUGAAUUCAAUGUUCUAAGCGUGAAGCUUUAUUAAUAAUA